rnacentral:rRNA from 1 species
UACGUAGGGGGCAAGCGUUGUCCGGAUUUAUUGGGCGUAAAGCGCGCGUAGGCGGCUUUGUAAGUCAGAGGUGAAAUCCCGGAGCUCAACUCCGGAACUGCCUUUGAGACUGCAUCGCUUGAAUCCGGGAGAGGUGAGUGGAAUUCCGAGUGUAGAGGUGAAAUUCGUAGAUAUUCGGAAGAACACCAGUGGCGAAGGCGGCUCACUGGACCGGUAUUGACGCUGAUGUGCGAAAGCGUGGGGAGCAAACAGG